CAGUCUUCUUAUUAAUCCGAAUGAAGAGUCUGCACUCUGCCUCGAGCCCUAUUUAAUACAAGCAACAGGCAGUUCAAAUUUGUCAAAAUGAACAUUAAUCUGAUAAGCCGGCGCAAUAAGCAAAGCACAGCUUGAGUUAAUUUCAAAUAACAAAAAAACCCUCCAAAAUAAGUUAAUUGUUUUAGGUAAUUUUAGUGUGGAGGGAUAUGAUCGUAUCUAACUGAAAAAAAAGAUGGCAGGUGUUUAUAGAAGCAGGUACAGUCGGUGGAAGGGAAUUCGCUAACGGGAGAGAGUGCAAGACGGCAAUCAGGACAAACAGAGGCUUUUAAUGCAUGCUGAGAGUGCAGCUUUGAAGCAGCGGAGACGACGCAGGUGUUCCGGCAGAUUGCCGUGCCUUCUUCACGGCGGCUCGAAUUUUCUCAGUGUCCCCGGACCUGAAGCCCGACUCCGUGGGGAUACACGAGAGCCUCAGUCCAUGACGGCCGCGCUCGAGUGCUGAUGCCAGGUACCAGCUGGCACCGUGGAUGCAGAGGAGCUGCAUCCUGGGGGCGGCCAUGUUCCUAAUCACCUCGGGAGCGAAGGGGCGCUGUCACAAUCGAUGCCACCAUCCGGGAGUGAGGACCAGGCCCUGGACGUACACGUCUUCGCCCAUGUGGCGGUGGCACCUUUCUCAAGGGGAUAUCAGCCGAAUGCGGGGUACGAGCACGUCGCCUCCUGCUGGCGGGGCUGGAAUCUGCGUCGUUCUCUAGCCGUCGCCCCACCCCGUUGCUGCAGGAGGUCCGGCCAGUCCAGCUUUGACUGCUCGGAUGUUUAUUUACGGACUGCCUCCCGACAGUUCGCAGCUUUGUGUGAGUCCUCUCAUUAUCACUCCAACAAGGCAUUUCCUGAGUAUAAAUCACGUAAGCGAACAGCUGCUCGCCAUCCAGGCAUCAGCACCGACUGGCCGGAGCCAUCUGGACGUGUGCGGAGCAGAAAAACACACAAAUAAAAUGCCACAGCAUGCUUAUGUAUGAUGUAUGGUGCGUGUCAUUCAUUGGAGGUGCCUUUUCUAAGCGAUGCUCCCCACUGAAGUGUCCAUAGACAUCACAUUUUAUGGAUAUAACAGACAUUUUAAUCCAAAGUAACUUAAUUUUUUUCGAGACAGCAGGCGCAGACAGUCCCUGGAGUGACUGAGGGUUGGGGGCCUCGCUCUGCGGUCCAGGGAUUUCAAUCAAUGACCUUCUGAUCACAGGCCCGGCAUCCUAACCACUGACCCCCAUAGAUGGAUCACAAGGAUCAAGUAUAUCAUGAUUUAAUGCUCAAUCCCACUUUUUAGUGUAUGUCAAGCUUGUCUUGAAAAUGAGAUUUUUUGCACCUAAUAAAAUGCCCUUUCCCAUGUUAUUGAAUGAAAUAUUAUUGGCGGUACAGAUAUUCUUGAAUGUCAGGGGUGUAUACAGGGGCGGGACCAGUGGGGCAUUGGCCCCAACUGAGAGCUGAUUGGUCCCUGGAGUGCUCCCUCUCCUGUCACUCACCAGUUUGAAACAUUUAAAUUGGCUUAUGAUAACGUUGGCUUCUUUGUAUGAAUUAUGGCCCCUCUUAUGCGUCCAGUCUUAAAAAGACCCGGAAUCGCCCCUGUUGAGAAUCAAAACGAGAGCUAUAACACUCCUGACAAAGUGGCAUUUCUGCUGCCGUUCCGCAGGAGAGGAAGGCAGCCGGGAAUGCCAGGCGGGUGUUGGGACACGGCCGAGAUGGGAAGCUCACACACUCCGGCGCCGAUAUCUGUCUGAACCGAGUUUGGGCGUCACCAACAUGUCAUACAACAAAACCUAACCUACUUUUGACCAGGGACGACUGUGUUUGGACGCUGAGAAUCGGACCUCCCGGUUCGACGCAGGCCCCCGGCGCCCAGCGGCGGGAGCGGCCGCACCGGACUCGGCAGAUUGGCGGGAGCGGGAACGGGAGCCGGGCGCGGCAGCAGAAGCAGGGAGCUGGAUGGGAGCAGAAACUCGGACCAUCUAGGGAUCCCCCAGGACUGGAUCGGGAACCACUGCUCAAAUCUAUCAAACUUUGUAAACUUUUUUAAUUAAUGUGCUCUGUCUUCAAACGGAUUAACAGCAUCAAAUUGAAUGAUGAAUCCAUUACAAAGAACUUCAUAAAUUACAUUUGGUGAAACCAAAUCUUCUCUCACUGCAAAACGGUAGAUUAUUAAAGUGCUGUGACACUCGUAAGAGAUGUGUGCGUGUGAGUGAGAGCGAGCGGAUUCUUUGGUCACUGCGACACACAGCUCCUGGCUGUGAGGUGAAUCUCUGGCAAUCUCAGCCCUCUAAAGGGCACCAGAAACUUUACUGUAUUAAUGAAAAUGGGCAUGUGCACACAUAUGGUAAA